UCCCCCGAUCCAAAUCCUCCCCCCACCGCCACCCCCUCCGUUGCCAGCGGCGGGAGCUCGAGGCUCGGGCGGACGUGGCCGACCGGCGCGGGAGCUCCACGCGGGAGGCGACCCGGCGGCGCGGGAGCUCCAUGCGGGCGGAGGCGGCCCGGCAGCGUGGGACCUCCACACGUGGGCGGAGGCGCCCCAGUGGUGCGGGAGCUCGACGUGGAGUGGAGGCACGAGAGCUCCACUGGGCCGCCAGCAUGCGGCCGCCGGUGAUGCUCUGCCUCGCUCGAGGCCACGGCCCUCCUCGCCGUCGCACCGGCCGCUGUCUUUUACCUCCCCGGCGUCGCGCCCAAUGACUUCAUGAAGGACCCCUUGCAUCCUCAAGAGUCAAGACCACUCAAGUUUCAACACGAGCUUCCAGGUAUUACAAAUCUAUAGCGCUAAUCCUUUUCCCUCUCUACUUCUAAUUCUGUUUUAAUCCUAUCAGAUGUGUUGCGUCUCUUUUCUCUUCUAUAGGUCAGUUGGCAAUCUAGAUCUACUAAUUUCAAUUAGUAAUCUAGGUCUACUCAUUUCUCUUCGCUAGGUUCAUUCAGAGAGGGAUUACUUUCCAAUUGAAAAUAAAAAGGGUUAAACCAGAUUACACUGUGUAUUUAAACAACUGUAAUUUAUGGACAUUUCUUGCUUUGGGGGGAAACAAUUUUGAAGGUGAUGUAUUAAAUGUGAAGUAAAGUUGAAUAAUGCUCUGAACCAAUACUUUUUUAUAUUAAUUGUUUAGUGGUAAGGUGAAAAGGAAAUAUAAAACAAAGUUGACUAAUGCUCUAUUCUUUAGAGUUGCAGCCCUUGAAUGGUUGUCUCAUGAUCAAAACAUUUGGUGGCCUGAACCAACAAUAACUUCCUGUUGUUCCAGCAAUAUUAAUUUUUUGGACAAUAUAUGCUCAUAUAUUGCUAGAUUGGUACCUGCACUUAUUAGGUGAACCUCUAUACUGCUAGAUUGUUUAUUGCAACUUACAACUGUAUUUAUUUUUGCUAAACCAAUGUGUAGUUCCAACUUAAAUCCUACUAGCUCCUGCUUAAUUUUUACCUGACCCCUUGGUACUAUGAGCUAUUCAGUUGAGCACCAAGGGAUUAGAUUAAUUAUGAAUUUAAAGAAGCACUGCAAGUAUAUACCUUGAACUGAUCUGCAUAUCAUGAAAGCUUGUGUACCUUAAACUACUUCUUUCUGCAAAACAUCCAUAUGGAUUCGCUUUGCCCUGACUUAAAUUAUACUUAUGCUUGACCAGGUUGUAUGUUAGUGAUAUUACCUAUUGCCAGUUAGCUUUUCCUUAGUAAAUUCCUAUAUAGCACCAGUUGUCGUCUGCAAGUUCACUAUGCCUAAAAAUAAAUUUAAAUGUCCAAGAUAGUUGACAGCCUAACAAUAUUUUCUUUUAUUACAGCUUCUCUCACCAAUAGGAAUAUUUAGCCUGAACAAUAUGCGAGUAGCUUAUUGGCACAAUAUUGUACCUAGCCUGAAAAACCAUUGGUCUCAAGAAAAGAACCCCCAACAACCGAAUCACAAGCUGACAAGAAAGAAACUAUGUGUUGGGAACCGAGGUGGCCCUAAUACCUCGCCUAGGCGAUACGGCGGUGGUGGAUCGCCUCGCCUCGCCUUACCGCUUUAAAAACAUAGCCUAAUACCCACUAAGCUGAGGACCUACACCUAAGACAUACCAACUCACUCUAGAGUCGGUUAGCCUUUUCAAUUUCUUGCUACUUAGUGUGUAAAGUCCUUUCAGCAGCAGAGCCGCUCUCUUGUUUCCGGAUGGCAGAGCCUACCAACAGAUGAAGCUGGCUUCCGAGAAGCAGAGCCUUCCUACGAUGAACCCUAGACCUUAUGUGAUUCUGGGUGGCAGAGCCAACCUACGAUAGAUCACAACUUAUACACUAAGUACUUAGAAACUGAAAGACUAACACUUACAAAACACUUGCUUUAUUACAACACAAUCAGAGUGAUUAAAACCCACUCCCCUUUGCCCUCACCGCCGCAUCCCACAGGAAAAGUUGCACACGUGUCGCUCCCCCGCGAGCUCAGACUGUUUUGCAAAAAUGCCCUCCGGUUUCAUAGGAAUCACAGCUCAAUCGAACACACCUGAAACGCACAAUAACUACGGGCAUAUAUUUUACAAAUAAACCCUCAUACUUAAAUUUAUUUCAACACGAAGAAGCGAAAUACAGAUAGUGCUAUCAUUUUCACAGAAACCACCUCAAGGACAUUUUCCAAAUACCCCCUCCCACCACCCAACCGGCCACCUCCCCAACCCCAACUCUAACCCUCCUCAGUCCUCCCCGCCUUCCGCCGCCAUCUCCCCUCCCUCUCCGCCUACCUCCGCCGCUCCUCCCCGCCGGUCGGGGCCCUCACGGGAGCGGCCGGUGCCUAGUGCCGCGGCGCCCUUGCUGGGGUGGCCUGCGCCCAGCCCCGCGUCCCUCGCCCGACGCGGCUCUCCUCCCCGGCUGCGCUCCCCGCCCUCACCCCUCCGUGCGGCACGGGCCACCGUGGAUCUAGCAGGUCGCAGCCUACCUCCCGCGGCUGCUCGUUGGUGAGCGCGUCCUCGAAAGACUCAUGCUCCGCCUCCUCUUGCUCCGCCCUCGGCGCCUCCCCGCUGGCCGCGGCCCUUGCUUCCUCCUCGGGCGCCGGUUCCUCCAUCUCCUAAUCUGCUAAUCUGCUGCUCUACUCUUGCUUCUCUGAAUCUACUACUACUACUCUGCUGCUCGACCAACCACAGCCGUGGACGCGGCGCUGGCUAACUUCGGCGCCCACUUCGAGCGCCUCUUCGCGUCCCCCGACCCGGCCUCCGACGGCAAGGUGAAACUGCAGGUCCUCCUGGCGGACCGCGAUUCCGGCUCCUCCCUCACUUGUUGCCCAGGUAAGACUCCUCUUCCCUGGCAGUAAGUAGCCCACUGUGCCUAACCCCCUCCCUUCACAUCCUGCUGUGUGAAAUAAACACCCAAACCCCUAAUCUAUGGUAACGGAUGGUAUUUGUAUUCAGAUCUGACCAUGAUUUCAUCUACUAAAUUCGAUCUUUUUUUGGCAUAUUACAAUCUGUCGCUGGUUACAAAUAAAAGAUUUAACUGUAAGCGAUAUUACAAUCAACAUAUUUAUCUGCGUUUUUCCUUUGGGAUCAAAAGGCCAUUGAUAUAAUAUAAGCAACACAUUUGUUGUCUUGUGUUUUCCACUGAAAUCAGAAGGCCUGUCAAUAAUAGGAAAUGUAGUGUUCAUGUCCAUUUUACCUGCUCUGCUUGUGUGGUCAUGUACCAUUGGCAUGACCUGAGAGGUGGGACAAUCAUUUAAUAGCGUCAUUGUUUGUUUAAACUUGCUUCUCCUUGAUUUCUCUGUAGAAGUUAUAUUUCUCUGUAGAAGUUAUGUUUUUCUCCAUGCCUCUUAACUGUACAUGAAAGGAAAAAAUGUAUCCAUUUUGCUUUGUGCCUAUUUCUUUUAUGGAACCUCUAAGGUGUUUUCCCUCAACCUAUGUUAUUUACUCCUAAGGUGUUACAGUACAUGUGUAAUAAAUUAGCCUUGUACAGUCUUGUGACAGGAAGGGGUAUUUCUCUUGAUUGGAUUCGUUCACUCCCUCAAAAGUUAUGGAUCUGAAAAAUUCUCAUUCAAGAUGUAGACUGCUCAUCGAAAAAUUCUCAUUCAAGAUGCAGACUGCUCAUCGAUCUAGCUCUGACUCUAACCUUGUGUAUACAUGUGCAUUGUUUUUUUUUUGCCAAACCGAUUUAUUAAGUGCGUUAGAUCUGCACUGAUGUUUAAUCUUUUUCCUUGAAAAUUUAGAUACAUGUUUUGCAUUCUUCUAGUUCCCCCAUUUGAAGCCUCUGUAUCAUUUAGCUUCUUGGCCAUGACAUCUACUGUUAUUAUUUUCUUUUCUUAGAGGCUCACGAAUUACUUUUCAUUGGUCUGACACAUAGCUGUUUGUGUUGGUUAUGCUUGUGGACGUGCUGCAUCAGUGAUCCGAGACCAGGAAGUGGGCUUUUUCUGCAUCAACUGAAAAGGAUUGGUGCUUCUGUUAGCAGAAAAAACUUAGGCUAUGAAAAUUUUCAUUUUAUCAGCAAGCAAUUUAACCUAACCAAGUGUUUUUUUCCCUUCUGAUUCCAUUAUGGUUGUACCUCUCUCUGAUUGUCAUCUUGUGAUAAUAAUUAGUAAAGAAAAUUCACACCUGGUGUCAAAUCAGUACUAAAGUUUGUAGAUUAUAGGUAUCAUAGGAAUACAUGUAAGAAAAAUAUAGAAUAUUGUUAUAUUGAAGUAAGAGUAAAGAUUAAGUUGUAAAUAGGAUUGAGAUCAGGUCCUACAUAUAUGUUGAAUUGGCAUAUAUAGUUUGCAUACAGGACCUGUCAUGUUUAAUACUUGAAGUGAUGAUAGAAGGCCAAGUGCCAAUUGGUUCAAGCUUUAAGAGAUGCUAUGUUGGAAGUAUUAUCAAGCUUUUUCAAUUGCACUAUAUUAUGAGAAGCACAAGAGGGUCAAUGAGGCAGAGAGGGAUGUACAAUCUAGGGAUCCAGAAGUAAGCAAGCUCUUAUCUCAUAGCCUCUUUUUUUAUUUUACCAAGACAAAGUUUUUUUUUCUUAUUUGACAUAAUUAGUUGACAGCUCAAAUAGCAAAUUUACCAUAAUAUUUUAAAUAAUAUGCCCUCUUUGAGUAACUAACUAACCAAUCAAUCAUUUCUUAUUAAUUAGUCCGUCUACUUAACUGAGGGGGAGACAGAAAAAGCUCAUGAUAGUGUUGUACCGAACUAUUGAUAUGUGCUGCUACAUCCUUCUAUUACGGUGAUUGUGCCGAGCUAUUAUUUUAGUUGAUGAUCCCACGUUGAUUCCAACUUUGUUAACUAUAUUGUCAUGUGCUAACGAUAAAAAUAUUAAUGGUGUGUAGAGUGCAGCCACAUUGUAUCCUGGGCCACUAAAGAAAGGAGAUGGAUUCGUAUAAGUUCAGAGAUAGCAUUUUGCUUUGAUUUUUUUACUCCCCUGCUUGCUUAUUUGCGUAUUCAUCAAUGUUUGGUAAACCACGAGCCGCUUGUUUUACUUGGUUCUUACUACUAGCUUCUUGCUUACUAUUAAUUGGAAAACAACCCUCCUUCGUUAAAUGUUGAACUUUCUUAGCUACUCUCGAGCACCCUCUCCUUCAAAUUAAAUAAAGCACUCGAGUCCCUUGAACUUAGCUACUUUCUGAUACAAGUAAUUUGAGUAUGGAGAUUUCGUAGAAGAUGAUGGCAAAGUCUCUUGCUAUGGUUCAGCGAUGGCUACAAAUGUUUUUACUGCCAAAGUCCAUUUGGAAGAGAGUUGGAUGAACUUAUAUAUCAUGGUGUAUUGCUUAAUUUAUUGAAAGAAAUGCUAACUUGAUUAACUAGCUUCGUGUGCCACAUUCAUGUCUUUCAUAGUAUUAAAACAUAUGCUUGUGGAUCCCAAUCUGCCUCAAAAUAGUAGGUUGUUAAGAUUCAUACCAUGUUCUAUAUGCUUUGUGGAUAUAUUAAAUCUUUUUACGGCGUGUAGCAACGCAUGGGCAUGAACCUAUGUUGUAAUAUUUAUGAUCCAAAUGCCGGAUAGACACCUACUAUGGAUAGUGUACCCACACUGCUUAAAUGCUAGGAUAUUAACGAUGUAUUAUUACUAUAAUUUGUGAUUUUGUGUUGAAUUUAUCUUAUCUGCAUGCUAUUUAUCACAUUUAUUACUUAUACUUGAUUGUUUAAACGGUUGGGCGCGCAUCGCGCGCCUCAUGUUCUAGUAGUAUUACACAAGACACUCUUUAGUGGCUACCUAGCACUCACCCUCUCAUGCUCUCACCUAGCUAUCUACCUUGCUCUCAUCUACCAUGCUCUUGGAUGGAUGACAUGGCAAGGGAGGGGGUCUCUAUUUAUAGGGUUACAAGGCCAUUGGAUUAUUGACAUAUGGCAAAAUCAUAGCCCUUGAUCUAAAUUCUACACUCUUCCAUGAAAAUAUUAGUCCUAGAAAUAUCUUUGAUUUAUUUUAUUUAGAUAUUCUAGAGAACUCCGUGGAAAAUAGCUUAUCCUUGAAUUGUGGAGAAGAGUGUAGAAGUUUGACUUGCUUCCUUCAACACUAUGCAAGUUUAAUAUACGAAUCAUCUCCAUCGACUCAUCAUUUUCCACCUAAUUUUUAGGUAUGUUAAAUUUACUCAUUAGCAUUUGAUUACUUGAAUAAUAUACUCCUGAUAACCAUUUUGUUACUGAUAACACAUGUUCCAAUGACAAAUCUUGCAGGGAUCCUGAUUUUUUACAUUCCUAACUCUAUCAGGGUCCAAAACUCUCUUCUAUUACAGCUUCUAUUGCCAAUUGCAGUAUUUUUUUUAUGAACAUUAUGCAAGUACCCUGGCACAACAUUGCACCUGUUCCAGAUAGCUGCAUUUUGGUGUGGUUAAUAUCUGAUUGCAUGUUUCUGAUAGUUGCAUUUUGGUGUGGUUAACAUCUGAUGCUUGCUGUUAGUCUACCUGAACGAAUUUUUUAUAUUAUAAACAUUGUUCAGUUAUAGGUCAGACACAUCUACAGCACAUAUGAGCCCCUUUGACUGCCUUUGUCUGUCUCUGCUGGAGUAGAUAGCACUGCUGAAAUUGAUCUCUGGUAUUUUAUAUUCAAUUUAUUUUCACAUAUGUGCAACAUUCAGAAAAAGGCACCAGUAUCUCUAAUUGCAUCUGUCAGUUUCAGUUCAUAAGAACAACACAAGAAGCUACACUGUUGGAAUUUGUCUUGUGGAAUUAUACAUGUUUUUCUUAAAAAUAGCUACAAGUGUUGGUCUGCUUUCUUUUUUAGUUUUGUGUUAAGUUCAUUUACCAUUACAGUUUUUUUUUGACAGAUUGGGCACUUAUGUUUUGGCUGAAUCACAAAUAGAGGGGGAUGGAAAUUGUCAGGUUACCAAGGUUCACAAAGACAUUUUUCGGAAAUCCUGGUUAGUGUUUAGUUACACAGCAGUUUUGGUUCCUAUAAUUGAAUUUUGCUGUCCUUGGGUACAGGUCGAAGUGCGAGAUGUUGUGGAGAGUUUCUAGCUUCUUGAAGUUGCAACGCAACAGGUCAAAGCAAUUGGAGAAGAAAUGGGCAUCAAGUGAAAUGGUGUCUUAUUUUUGUUUCUGCACAAGAUAAUAGUAGAUUUGUAUGAGUUCAAUAGAUUUGGAUUGUAUUUGUAAUGUAUACAAUGGAUUAAGCAUGUGAAUUUGUGAUGUAAAGAAUGGAUAAAACAUGUUUAUAUGUGAUGUAUAUAAAUGUGUAUGUUGUCCUCCUUUUUCAUUUUU